rnacentral:sRNA from 1 species
UAGAUAGGAUACAAGGAAAUGGUCACAAAGUUAGCAGGGAGAAGACCUUGGUUCCAAUCCCAGCUCAGCCAUCCUAUGCCAUAGGCAAGUCACUCAGCCUCCCUGAGCCGCAUUUCUAUCCCCUGUAAAGAGAAUGUUUUUGGUUUGCUCUGGCUGCAUAACUAGCACAAAUUUAGCAACACUCAACAAGGAAUGUUCUUUUGUUUGUUUGUUUCUUUGAGACAGGGUCUUACUCCGUCGCCCAGGCCGGAGUACAACGGUGCAAUCUCAGCUCACUGCAACCUCUACCUCUCGGGUUCAGGUGAUCCUCCCACCUCAGCCUCCCAAGUAGCUGGGAUUACAGGCACCUGCCACCAUGCCCGGCUAAUUUUUGUAUUUUUAGUAGAGAUGGGGUAUCAUCAUGUUGGCCAGGCUGGUCUCGAACUCCUGACCUCAGGUGAUCCAUCUACCUCAGCCUUCCAAAGUGCUGGAAUUACAGCCGUGAGUCACCGCACCUGGCUAAUUUUUGUAUUUUUAGUAGACGCAGGGUUUCAUCAUGUUGGCCAGGCUGGUCAACUUGGAAUGUUCUAUGUUCAGGGUAUCCCAUGGACAAAACCAAGAUGCUGGUCAGGCAGGGCUCUUCUCUUAUCUGGAAAGAAUCUUCUUGUUUAGGUUAUUGGCAGAAUCCACGUUCCCUCCUCAGUUGUGGGACUGAGGUCUUGGUUUCCCUGCUGGCCGCCAUCUGGGGCCUCAGCUCCUUCAAGCUGCCCAGGUUCCUUCCCAUGUGUGUCCCCUCCCCCAGUUGUCGAGCCACCCUCUCAUCCCCUGCGUAUUUCAAAUCUCACUUCCUUUUCUGCCACCAGCCAGAGAAGGUUCUCUGUGUUGAACGGCUCUUGUGAUUCCAGUGGCUCCACCCAGACCCUCCAGGCCGUUUCCCCUCCCUUAAGGAUGCCCUGUGCCAUGUAACAGCACAGGCAUGGGUGUGAUCUCACUUGUUCACAGCUUCCGGGGGCUAGGAUGAGACAUGCUUGGGGGCGGGGGCCACUUAGAAAUGUGCCUGCACUGUGGGCGUGAUGCUGUGCACUGUGGAAGGAAAAGGAGUUAAAUCAGAAAUGAUGGUGGGCGCUGAGCCUCAGCAGCGCCGCUUUGUGCCGCAGCAUCAACCUGUGGGAAAUGGCGGAGUUCCUGCUGAAACAGGACGUGGUCAACGCCAUCAACCUGGAUGGGGGUGGCUCUGCCACCUUCGUGCUCAACGGGACCUUGGCCAGUUACCCGUCAGAUCACUGGUAAGCACGUGAGAGCCGCCUUCAUGAGGGCUGACGUCCAGGUCUGCCCGAGCCUGUCUCAUUCAGCCAAUAUUGAGUGACUGCUAUGUGCCAGGCAGGGGUUCAAGAGAGCAGAAAUAGCUGCAGUCCCUCCCCCAGGAUUCCAGUACUACCCAGGCCUAGGAACAGGGUCAGUUGGUCAGCAAAGACCUCCCUGAGGAUGACAGAAUAAGAACUGAGAUCUGAAGGAGGUGGUAUCUGGGUGGGGGUGGGAGAGUCUUCCGGGCAGAGGGCACCACAUGUGAAAGGCCCAGGGCUGGGAGAGAUUACAGGGAGCGGAGGAACCUAUAAAAGGCUGGAGAGGGCUGGGCACAGGGGCUCACGCCUGGAAUCCCAGUGCUUUGGGAGGCCGAGGUGGGGGGAUCGCUUGGGCCCAGGGAUUCAAGACCAGUGUGGGCAACAUAGUGAGACCUCAUCUCUACGAAAAAAUUAAAAAAAAUUAGCCAGGCAUGAUGGCGCACACCUUAUGGUCACAGCUGCUCAGGAGGUUCAGGUGGAAGGAUCACAAUACCUCAUCUCAAAAAUAGAUAGACAGACCCCAUCUCGUAGGUAGGUAGGUAAGUAGGUAGACAGAUGAGAAUGGAGAGAGGGGUGGUUGGGGGCAGCCUGGAGGGAGUUGAGGGGCUGUCUGGGGGUGUCCUCUUCUCACACAUCACAUCUCUCUACAGCCAGGACAACAUGUGGCGCUGUCCCCGCCAAGUGUCCACUGUGGUGUGUGUGCACGAACCCCGCUGCCAGCCGCCUGACUGCCACGGCCACGGGACCUGCGUGGAUGGGCACUGCCAUUGCACCGGGCACUUCUGGCGGGGUCCCGGCUGUGAUGAGCUGGACUGUGGCCCCUCUAACUGCAGCCAGCAUGGGCUGUGCACGGAGACCGGCUGCCGCUGUGAUGCCGGAUGGACCGGGUCCAACUGCAGUGAAGAGUGUCCCCUUGGCUGGCAUGGGCCGGGCUGCCAGAGGCCUUGUAAGUGUGAGCACCAUUGUCCCUGUGACCCCAAGACUGGCAACUGCAGCAUCUCCGGAGGUACCUACCCCUCCGAGGGGAGGGGGUAUGGGCAGACGCUCCUGCUCCGGCCCCUUCAGCCUGUCUCUGGUAUGUUACAGUAAAGCAGUGUCUGCAGCCAUCUGAAGCCACCCUGAGGGCAGGAGAACUCUCCUUUUUCACCAGGACCGCCUGGCUAGCCCUCACCCUGGCGCUGGCCUUCCUCCUGCUGAUCAGCACUGCGGCAAACCUGUCCUUGCUCCUGUCCAGAGCAGAGAGGAACCGGCACCUGCAUGGGGGCUAUGCAUACCACCCGCUGCAGGAGAUGAACGGGGAGCCUCUGGCCACAGAGAAGGAGCAGCCAGGGGGCGCCCACAACCCCUUCAAGGACUGAAGCCUCAAGCUGCCCGGCGUGGCACAUCUCGAAAGCUUGUUUCCCCACAGUCUGGCUUCUGCAGGGGAAAUUUCAAGGCCACUGGCAUGGACCAUCUGGGUGUCCUCAGCCCCUGUGGGGCAGCCAAGUUCCUGAUAGCACUUGUGCCUCAGCCCCUCCCCUGGCCACCUGCCAGGGCACCUGCAACCCUAGCAAUACCAUGCUCUCUGGAGAGAGUCAGCCGCCUGCUUCCUGCCUGCCUGUGUCUGCUGCUGAGAAGCCUGUGCCCCCGGGAGGGCUGCCGCACUGCCAAAGAGUCUCCCACCUCCUGGGGAAGGGGCUGCCAACAAACCAGACUCAGUGACCACAUCAUGACAAAACAGCACAUCCUGGCCAGCACCCCUGGCUGGAGUGGGUUAAAGGGACGAGUCUGCCUUCCCGGCUGUGACACAGGACCCCUUUUCUACAGACCUCAUCACUGGAUUUGCCAACUAGAAUUCGAUUUCCUGUCAUAGGAAGCUCCUUGGAAGAAGGGAUGGGGGGAUGAAAUCAUGUUUACAGACCUAUUUUGUCAUCCUGCUGCUGAGAAGUUUUUGUAAUCACUUGAAUAAAUGGAUAUAAUAAAAGG